rnacentral:rRNA from 1 species
AGAUUGAACGCUAGCGGGAUGCCUUACACAUGCAAGUCGAACGGCAGCGCGGACUUCGGUCUGGCGGCGAGUGGCGAACGGGUGAGUAAUAUAUCGGAACGUGCCCAGUAGCGGGGGAUAACUACGCGAAAGCGUGGCUAAUACCGCAUACGCCCUACGGGGGAAAGGGGGGGAUUCUUCGGAACCUCUCACUAUUGGAGCGGCCGAUAUCAGAUUAGCUAGUUGGUGAGGUAAAGGCUCACCAAGGCGACGAUCUGUAGCUGGUUUGAGAGGACGACCAGCCACACUGGGACUGAGACACGGCCCAGACUCCUACGGGAGCAGCAGGUGGGAAUUUGGACAAGUGGGGAACCUGAUCAGCCAUCCCGCGUGUGCGAUGAAGGUCCGUUCGGGUUACGUAACCUCUUUACGAGCGAGGACGAAGCGACAAGU